CUCAGACUUGCUCAGUUCUAUAACGGCUCACAGGGGGUCAUCCAGUAUGACCUCCUUCCCCCUGGCUUAUUUGAGUCCAAAUUCCUUAAGCCAUCCAUGAGUUUGUGGCAAAGUAUUUGGUCUCCACUUAUACACCUGUUUUAUUUUCCAAGGGCAAUGAAAGGUUCAUUAUAUAGUAACACAAUAAAUAACCCACUGUUAACUCAGAGGAAGGGAUGGGGAGGGCGCCCAUUGCAGAGCAAUACAGAGGAAACAAGAGAGGCGUGGGGUGAAGAAUGGGGUGGAAACAAUACAUACAACUCCACUGAACGGAUUUUCCUGUUUUGUUUUGUUUUUUCUUUCACAUAAUUAACACUAACAAAUUCUUCCAGUGUUUAUUUUUUCCUUUAAAAAAAAAAAGAUGUUUUCUUUUUGUGUCUCUCAGGAAGUAGGUGAGAUGCAGACUAACGCCUUCCAUUUUUGUGGCUGUUGUUGCUGUAAUCCCAGAUGCCAGUUUUAACAAACAGAACACAAGCUUGCAAAGUGUUUGAACUAGUACCGAUUUUUUUUUCCUCCAAUUUUUUUUUCAACACUGAUGAAUCAAAACUCCCUCACGUCACGAACAUUAUCAUCGUCAUUGUCGUCAUACGUCAUUGUCACCGUGAUUUUCAUCCUGGCUUUCCCGAGGACUUUAGCUGCAUUUACAAGACUUGACGAUCAUGUUGGAAAGUUGUUCGAUCUUGGGCGUAUUGCCAAUGUAGUAGAGGAUGGUCAGUGGUUCCAGAUCCUGGGACACACAGCAAGGGGAAGCAGAAGCUUCGGGGUUUAUGGUGUUGUACAGGCU
rnacentral:lncRNA from 1 species